rnacentral:rRNA from 1 species
ACGUACACUCCUGCGGGAGGCAGCAGUGGGGAAUAUUGGACAAUGGGCGCAAGCCUGAUCCAGCCAUGCCGCGUGAGUGAUGAAGGCCCUAGGGUUGUAAAGCUCUUUUGUGCGGGAAGAUAAUGACGGUACCGCAAGAAUAAGCCCCGGCUAACUUCGUGCCAGCAGCCGCGGUAAUACGAAGGGGGCUAGCGUUGCUCGGAAUCACUGGGCGUAAAGGGUGCGUAGGCGGGUCUUUAAGUCAGGGGUGAAAUCCUGGAGCUCAACUCCAGAACUGCCUUUGAUACUGAAGAUCUUGAGUUCGGGAGAGGUGAGUGGAACUGCGAGUGUAGAGGUGAAAUUCGUAGAUAUUCGCAAGAACACCAGUGGCGAAGGCGGCUCACUGGCCCGAUACUGACGCUGAGGCACGAAAGCGUGGGGAGCAAACAGGAUUAGAUACCCGAGUAGUCCCA